rnacentral:lncRNA from 1 species
CCAGAUGCAAGUUUUAAAUGUACAUUGUAUAUCAAUAUUUUAAUGUGAUGAACUGAAUGUCUAAACAAAUACAAUAUUCUAGUGAUAAUUAUUCAUCCUAUAAUACUACAUACACCUUUAACAAUCCAUGCAUUACAAUUCUAGUAUAACUUGUGCACGAACGAAAUGACUCCUUGGUACUCCGACCAUACACCGGUUGCUCAAGCCUCUUCUUAAAUCGCUAAAAGCACCUCACUUUCAAGUCACCAACACUAAUAGCAGUGAGGCUAAGGUCAUACUCAGCAAUUGGAAACUGGAUAAUGAGAUGACGGCCUUAGAUUCUACAAUUAGCGGCUGCAAAUAAAAAAAGGAGGAGGAAAAAAGACUGCUGUUAUAAAACGAGGCAUGCUAUAUUGUAUCAUAACAUAAAGCAGACUAACAUCUUGACCAAAAAUGGAUGACAACCACUGAUACCGGCAGGUUAGACGCUUUAUAUCUUCAACUG